UUCCGUUUUGUAGGCUUCCAGUGGUGUUAUUAGCCCUCAGCAAGUGCUAGCUACUAAAUUAGCUCUGACUUUGUGUAUCGGUGAUUCCUACUAGGUCCAUCCCGUUUCCGCGCCAAAGGAGAUGCUGCCCUUGUCUAAACGGCCGGCACGGGCGUCGCUCUCCAGAUUGCGCACGCCGUGUCUAAACGGCUGUGUUGAACAAUAUAUGUAUCUUGCGAUUCUCCGUGUGACGUGGUUCCCUGAUGCGGUUUUGUUUUGUGAUUCCCUGACGUUGUUCCUUCACACACGCAGGUGCACGACAGAGCCAGCUGUGUGUGGUGUGCGCGGGGGAUUCUUCUUCCACCCCAGCAAUCUGGUCCAUCCCGUUUCUGUGGCAAAGGAGAUGCUGCCCCUGUGGACCUCCAGAUUGCUCUGGCCACCAACUUAUCUAGUGUUAAAGGGUUGCAAGCGAACCUUUCAGAAAUGAUAUUUAGAUUCUAGAACGGACCGAGGAACCAAGUGAACUUGAUGACUACUAUGUGAUUCCCGAGCCAGGGUUUGAGUAGCCACUGUUCUACCAAGUGAGGAUGAUGUUACGGUCGAUGAUGGCAAGAUCAGCGCCUUGGCAUACGACACCGCGUCGGUCGCUCUUGUUCAAGAUCCCAGCCAUAGCAGCAGUUGGAGCAUGUUAGCCAAUUAAGGCAGCGUGAGCAUGAGGAGAGCGAGCAGGAGAAGGAGAAGGAGGCAGGGCACCUACGGUCGGCUCCUUCUCCAGAACCACGCGGCAGGAAAGGAGGUUAGAGGACUUUUUCUUCUUGGGACGCCGCAUCCAUGGAGCUCCGACCCCAUUGCCACUGCCAUACAUGGAGCUCUGGCCCAUGGCCAACAGCUCAAGUGUUUUCCUCGCACACGUUGGUGCGACACAGAGCCACCGUGGGGAUUCCUUCCACUACGACGUCUCCUGGUUUCUCCUCCGGUGCCCCCGUUCUUCUUCCACUUCAGCAAGUGGUGCACGACAGAGCCAGUUGUGUUUGGUGUGCGCAGGUUGGAUUCUUCUUCCACUCCGGAAAUCUGGUCUAUCCUGUUUCCAUGGCAAAGGAGAUGAUGCCCUUUGUGGAAACCGCUGACGCACGUGUUGCUCUCCAGAGAUUGCGAAGGCGACCAGUGGUUCUAGUGCUAAAGGGUUGCAACCAAACCUUUCAGAAAUGAUAUAUAGAUUCUAGAACGGACCGAGGAACCAUGUGAACUCGACCACUACUGUGUGAUUCCCGAGACAGAGUUCGAGCAGCUACUGGUCGACCAAGUGAGGAUGAUGUUGCGGUCGAUGAUGGCAGGAUCAGCGUCUUGGGAUACGACACCACGUCAGUCGCUCUUGUUCCACGUCUUGAUGACGGUGACAGCCUCAAGUUUCCCACCACGCUCUGGUCGAUUCUCGAUAACAAGCUCCCAGACGGCUCCUGGGGAGACGCUGCCCUGUUCCCCGCCUAUGACCGGGUCACCAACACCCUUACCUGUGUCGUGGCUCUCAUAAAGUGGUCUCUUGGCCAUGGUAAAUGCAGGAGAGGAUUGCAAAUGUAGCUUGUCUCCGACGAUGGGGCCGAGAACCGCAGGCUACGUACCCUAUGCAUCGCUGCUUUGACUGACCUAUCUCCCUGCGUCGGCAACCGCUUCUCUGAUGGAUGGGUUCAUCACAGGGACUCGUCAUGGCGCGCUUCAUCAACACCAAGAGGAGACCCCUUCAUCUUCAUGGCCGGCCCUCAAGCAAAGCAAAGGGAGGGGAUCGAAAUCGUCCAUGGACGGACGCGCUGAUGGGGACCUGAUGGAGACAGAGAAGGACCACGAGGAGGUGGCGUGGGUCGACCCUGGCGGUUGGCUCCUCCUCCAGAACCACGUGGUAGGAGAGGAGGCACAAGGACUGCUUCUUCUCAGGAUGCCGCAUCCAGGGAGCUCCGACCCUACCGCCGCUGUCAUCCAUGGAGCUCUGACCCAUGGCCAAGAACUCAAGGUAGGUUCAGACAUAGAGCCACUGUGGGGAUAGCUUCCAGUCCGACGCCACUUGGCUUCUGCUCCGGUGCCCCCGUUCUUCUUCCAAUCCAGCAAGAUGGUGCACAACAGAGCCGGCUGUGUGUGGAGUGCGCGGGAAGAUUCUUCUUCCACUCCGGCAGUCUGAUCCCAGCUUGAGCAGCAGUUGGAGUUAGCCAAGCGAGGCAGCGUGAGCACUAGGAGAGGGAGGGGAGAAGGAGAACUUAGGUUGCAUGGCACCAAUGGUCGGCUCCUUAUCCAGAAUCACGUGUCGGGAAAGGAGGUUCGAGGACUGCUUCUUCUUGGGACGCCACAUCCAUCGAGCUCUUACCCCAUCACCGCUGCCAUCCAUGGAGCUCUGACCUAUGGCCAACAAUUCGUCAUGGUGCACGAAAGACCCAGCGUGUGGUGUGCAUGUGGAAUUCUUCUUCACACUCAAACACAGGUUAUGGAGCUGGAGUCAGUUUUCUAGUGAUGGACUAGGAUUGAAGCUACUCGACGAGGCACAAACAUGCUACUAUCUUGCUAGGCUGUGGUCUUCAGUUCAUGUCGUGGCUGGGUUGUUGCCAGUUACUUCAACUAGUCAGUUUUCUUGUUCUGCUUGCUCCAGUUACAUUAUGUCCUCCCAACCGUUGUCUGAUCAUGAAUACGUUGUCACAUUGUGCCUUUUGUUUCUGAAAGAUAAAACCUUGUAAUUUUAUUAUAUUACGAAGCCAAGCCGCGCACAUGGGUAUUUUUUGGGCUACCCCAGCUUUCAGGAUCCAGACACUUCAAAAUUGUUUUCUCAAGCUUCUUUUGAUGGUAUUUAGAAACUUGCAUAUGCUCAUUUAUUUCAGUUUAGUAAGCAACUUGAGCAAAAUGAGUCCACAAAUUAUCACCAGGCACGAAUGUCUCAGGUUGACAAAAUCGUCUGCCAGAGUGUGUUUUAUUCAAAGUCCUCAUUAUAGCCAUAUAAUAUUCGAGAUGUCCACCCCUACUAUCUCUUGUCUAUUUUAUGCUUGAAAAAAUAUAAAGCAUGUGAUUGUUGUUGUAUUUGUAGAGAAGAGGUAAUUUCUAGGAUUUUGUUUUUCUCAAGAGAGGAGUAAUGAAAUUGUGUCUUGACUCUAACCUGUUAGUUUGAUUUUGAUGGCUGUAGGGUUGUUUAGUUGCAUCAUAAGACAUCUUUGUUGAAUUAUCUGGAUCGCCUUACCUUGACAUGUCCUGUUAAUAAGUGUUUUAAAGAAAUAUUAUAAUUUAGAAAGAGAGGGGGAGGUUAGCAGAGUAUCAGAGAUAGUUAGUUACUGUAAAAAAGAAAGGGGGUCCUAUUCUCCAUCUCUCUUAUUCUGUUGUUAUGCAUGUAUCUUCCUGAUAUACUAAUAUAAAGUAUAAUUCAUGUGAUUCUCUCUGUUAAUGGUGAUGAAUCAGUCUUGCAAUUGAGGUGCAAGGGCCAUUUUGUGUGCUUUUGCCUCGUAGUUUCCUAUUCAAUGUACCUCUCGUAGCUGCUGAUUUUGAUGUGUUUGGGUUCACUAUCUUAGAGCCUGUUCGGACUCUCUCUGCUCUCCAACUCCACGCCGGAGCGGAGCAACAUCUAGUUCUAAUUUGGGGAGUGGCUGAAAAGGGAGUGGCUCUCUGACGUUGCUCCUCGAGGAUGAUGCACUUGAAACCCUCUUUGGCACAGACAAGAGCACACCUGGGCACCAGUCAUCAUAUUACUAAACCACAGUAUAGAAGCAAAGUGGAUCUCAAUCUGGACUGUAUCGAGCUACACAACCCAUACGAGCCAGCUGGCAAAUCCAAUUCCAAGGUGGAUUUGUUCAGGGUUCGGUGGCUGAUGUUGUUCCUGUAAGCGGAAUUAAAGACAUGUGUUGGCUGAUGCAGUUCAUGUUUAACUUGCUGGCAAAGCACCGGCCAAUACAUUGUUGGAAGACUUUUGGGAUGUGAAAAAUGAGAGAGAGGAGAGCGCGCUAAUGCUCCGCUGCCACUGGUUGCUGCUGCUGCUGAUCUCUCUGGGGAGAGAUGGUCUUUUAAAUGAGAAUUUGAGCUAGGGUUGUGCAUGCAUUUAUUCAACGCGUUAUGCUGCCAAAAUUUCUGGUCGAAAUUCCCACGACUUGUCGAAAUUUUGUCCUUCUUUGUAAGGAAACAAAACGUUUAGGGUGUCGGAUGCAAAAUGUUAGGGUCUUGGCUGCAAGAUUUUGUAAUUUGUGAGGAUGUAAACAGAAAUUAAUUUUAACAUUUGUUCCGAAUUCCGAAAAAUAUUAGUACUUCGAUGUUUGUUCACUUA